rnacentral:rRNA from 1 species
AGUGAACGCUGGCGGCAGGCCUAACACAUGCAAGUCGAGCGGCAGCGGGUCCCCGCGAGGGGAUGCCGGCGAGCGGCGGACGGGUGAGGAACACAUCGGAAUCUGCCUGGUUGUGGGGGAUAACGUAGGGAAACUUACGCUAAUACCGCAUGCGACCCUGAGUCGACGGACUUGGGGUGAAAGUGAGGGACCUUCGGGCCUCACGCGACCAGAUGAGCCGAUGUCGGAUUAGCUAGUUGGCGGGGUAACGGCCCGCCAAGGCGACGAUCCGUAGCUGGUCUGAGAGGAUGAUCAGCCACACUGGGACUGAGACACGGCCCAGACUCCUACGGGGAGGCAGCAGUGGGGAAUCUUGGACAAUGGGCGCAAGCCUGAUCCAGCCAUGCCGCGU